AGUGGACUAUGCCACUCUAAACCACAUUAAGCAUAGAGCGUAGAGAGAGUGUUUAAACAUUCUCUCUGGUUGUA
rnacentral:ribozyme from 1 species